UCCUGGUUCUGUGGCUCAGAAGCAC
rnacentral:miRNA from 1 species